GCGAAACCGCGAAUGGCUCAUUAAAUCAGUUAUGGUUCCUUGGAUCGUACUUUACUACUUGGAUAACUGUGGCAAUUCUAGAGCUAAUACAUGCAGCAGAGCUCCGACCUUCGGGGACGAGCGCUUUUAUUAGACCAAAACCAAUCGGGCCUCGUGUCCGUGAAACGUGGUGACUCUGUAUAACUUUGGGCUGAUCGCACGGGCUCGUCCCGGCGACGUAUCCUUCAAGUGUCUGCCUUAUCAACUGUCGAUGGUAGGUUAUGCGCCUACCAUGGUCGUAACGGGUGACGGGGAAUCAGGGUUCGAUUCCGGAGAGGGAGCCUGAGAAACGGCUACCACAUCCAAGGAAGGCAGCAGGCGCGCAAAUUACCCAAUGUCAGUUCGACGAGGUAGUGACGAAAAAUAACAAUACGGGACUCUUUUGAGACCCCGUAAUUGGAAUGAGUACACUCUAAAUCCUUUAACGAUUAUCAAUUGGAGGGCAAGCCUAGUGCCAGCAGCCGCGGUAAUUCUAGCUCCAAUAGCGUAUAUUAAAGUUGUUGCGGUUAAAAAGCUCGUAGUUGGAUCUCAGUUCCAGACGGGCGGUCCGCCUACCGGCGGCCACUGCCCGUUCUGAACAGGCCAGCCGGUUUCCCUUGAUGAUCUUCACCGGUUGUCUCGGGUGACCGGCAAGUUUACUUUGAAAAAAUUAGAGUGCUCAAAGCAGGCGCGACGCCUGAACAAUGGUGCAUGGAAUAAUGGAAUAGGACCUCGGUUCUAUUUUGUUGGUUUUCGGAACACGAGGUAAUGAUUAAGAGGGACAGACGGGGGCAUUCGUAUUGCGACGCUAGAGGUGAAAUUCUUGGACCGUCGCAAGACGAACUACUGCGAAAGCAUUUGCCAAGAAUGUUUCCAUUAAUCAAGAACGAAAGUUAGAGGUUCGAAGGCGAUCAGAUACCGCCCUAGUUCUAACCAUAAACGAUGCCAGCCAGCGAUCCGGCUGUGUUCCUCAAAUGACACGCCGGGCAGCUUCCGGGAAACCAAAGCUUCGGUUCCGGUUAACCUGUUAGAGGG
rnacentral:rRNA from 1 species